GAGUUUGAUUCUGGCUCAGGAUGAACGCUGGCGGCGUGCUUAACACAUGCAAGUCGAACGAAGCGAGAAGAAAGAAGUUUUUCGAAAUGGAUUUUUUCUUUGCUUAGUGGCGGACGGGUGCGUAACACGUAGGUAACCUGCCCUGUGCUUCGGAAUAACUCCGGGAAACCGGUGCUAAUGCCGAAUAAUAUCGCCUGUCGGCAUCGAGAGGCGAUCAAAGAAUUUUGGCACAGGAUGGGCCUGCGCCGGAUUAGCUGGUUGGUGAGGUAACGGCUCACCAAGGCGACGAUCCGUAGCCGACCUGAGAGGGUGAUCGGCCACACUGGAACUGAGACACGGUCCAGACUCCUACGGGAGGCAGCAGUGGGGAAUAUUGCACAAUGGGGGAAACCCUGAUGCAGCAACCGCAAGCGUGAGCGAUGAAGGCUUUCGAGUCGUAAAGCUCUGUCCUAUGGGAAGAUGAUGACCGUACNUAGAG
rnacentral:rRNA from 1 species